CGCGUGGGGGAUGAAGGCCUUCGGGUUGUAAACCCCUUUCAGCAGGGAAGAAGCGAAAGUGACGGUACCUGCAGAAGAAGCGCCGGCUAACUACGUGCCAGCAGCCGCGGUAAUACGUAGGGCGCAAGCGUUGUCCGGAAUUAUUGGGCGUAAAGAGCUCGUAGGCGGCUUGUCGCGUCUGCUGUGAAAGCACGAGGCUCAACCUCGUGUCUGCAGUGGGUACGGGCAGGCUAGAGUGUGGUAGGGGAGACUGGAAUUCCUGGUGUAGCGGUGGAAUGCGCAGAUAUCAGGAGGAACACCGAUGGCGAAGGCAGGUCUCUGGGCCACUACUGACGCUGAGGAGCGAAAGCGUGGGGAGCGAACAGGAUUAGAUACCCUGGUAGUCCACGCCGUAAACGGUGGGCACUAGAUGUGGGGCUUAUUCCAUGAGUUCCGCGUCGCAGCUAACGCAUUAAGUGCCCCGCCUGGGGAGUACGGCCGCAAGGCUAAAACUCAAAGGAAUUGACGGGGGCCCGCACAAGCGGCGGAGCAUGCGGAUUAAUUCGAUGCAACGCGAAGAACCUUACCAAGGCUUGACAUAUACGGUCUAUCCCUAGAGAUAGGGAGUGAUUUUUUCGCCGUAUACAGGUGGUGCAUGGUUGUCGUCAGCUCGUGUCGUGAGAUGUUGGGUUAAGUCCCGCAACGAGCGCAACCC
rnacentral:rRNA from 1 species